GAAAACCAUAUCCACUCUUUUCAACUGGUUGUUUUGUAAAGAAUGUGCUAUGAUGCAUAGGAAUGUGAUCAUAGUAAAGAGUGUACCUGCAGAGAUGUCAUAAGUGUCUUCUCAUGCAGUGCCUGCAUUUCAGAAGGCAGCACUACCAAAGAUAAAGGAGGAAUCUGAAAUAGUUGAGGUGGUAGGAUAUUCUGGCAAUGGACUUUCAAAGAAAAGUAUAUUUUCUCACAAAACUGAAAAUGCCCGUCAUGAAAAUGUCAGUUUAAUGCAAAUUAUGGUGGAAAAGAGAAUUGGAAGUUUUCCUUCCUCUGGUGUAUUCCUGAAGGAUCUCCUGAAGGACUGCAGCGUUGCCAUCACUGCCUGUCUGCUGGAGGGAAGGGAACUUGCAAGAUUUUUUCCCCAAGGCGGAAAUUUCAGCUAUGCUUAGGUGGAGCUUGUAUCUUUUUUUUUCUUUUUCCCUGGAAACUCUUACUGAGAAGAACAGGAAUGAUGUUUCUUUAUAGCAGGAGUGAACAAAUGAAAAGAACAGGAGAGAUUCAGGUUUUUGCCAUGUCUUACAGUGCCUAGGGUACUUGUGAAAAGGCUGUCACAGUGCCAGGGAGAGACAAGUGCUGCCUGAAAGUGACAGUGGAAGUUCUCCUCCGCUCCACCAGUGUUGUUGCCUUCAUUUUUUUUAGGAGCCAUCCAGAGAAUAAAAGCCAUACCUCAGCUAUUACGGCCAUUCAAACAAACCUGACUAUAAAUAUCUCUGCUGGCUCCUAGUAUAGUAUAGUUUUUCCCUGGAAGUGUUUGUUCAAUCAGUAUCUCCUGACUGUCCCCAAGCACUGAUGAGUCAAGUCUCUGUAGAGGAAGGGCUGUUCUCCAGAGAACACUUUCCCACAGAGCUGGAAAUCUUGUGUCUCUUCCCAACUCUCUUAAAGUCUUAUGGUGAGAAUUAUGGUCAUACUCCUCUCCUAGUGUCUUAAAAAGAGUGGCUUGCACCUCUGAAAUCAUCUGAUUGUUGAUGGAGUAACCAGUGUUGGUUAUUGCUGGUACAGGUGU